UACGAAGGGGGCGAGCGUUGUUCGGAAUUACCGGGCGUAAAGGGCUCGUAGGCGGCCAACUAAGUCGGAUGUGAAAUCCCCAGGCUUAACCUGGGAACUGCAUCCGAUACUGGAUGGCUUGAAUCCGGGAGAGGGAUGCAGAAUUCCAGGUGUAGCGGUGAAAUGCGUAGAUAUCUGGAGGAAUACCGGUGGCGAAGGCGGCAUCCUGGACCGGCAUUGACGCUGAUGAGCGAAAGCUAGGGGAGCAAACGGG
rnacentral:rRNA from 1 species